rnacentral:rRNA from 1 species
GAUGAACGCUGGCGGCGUGCUUAACACAUGCAAGUCGAACGGAAAGGCCCAAGAUUGCUUGGGUACUCGAGUGGCGAACGGGUGUGUAACACGUGGGGGAUCUGCCCUGCACUUCGGGAUAAGCCUUGGAAACUGGGUCUCAUACCGGGUAGGAUCACUUCAUGGUUGUUGUGGUGGAGAGAUUUUUGGUUGUGGGAUGAGUUCGCGGCCUAUCAGCGUGUUGGUGGGGUAUUGGUCUACCAAGGCGUCGCCGGGUAACCGGACUGGGAGAGUGUACGGCCGCAUUGAGACUGAGGGACGGCCCAGGCACCGACGGGAGGCAGAUGGGGGGAAUAUUGCACAAGCAGCGCAAGCCUGAUGCAGAGACGCCGCGGGGGGGAUGACGGCCUUCGGGUUGUAGAAUCAAUUCGCUAGGGACGAAGCGUUUUGUGACGGUACCUGAAGAAAAAGCACCGGCUAACUACGUG